rnacentral:rRNA from 1 species
ACGCUGGCGGCAGGCCUAACACAUGCAAGUCGAGCGGUAGAGAGAAGCUUGCUUCUCUUGAGAGCGGCGGACGGGUGAGUAAUGCCUAGGAAUCUGCCUGGUAGUGGGGGAUAACGUUCGGAAACGGACGCUAAUACCGCAUACGUCCUACGGGAGAAAGCAGGGGACCUUCGGGCCUUGCGCUAUCAGAUGAGCCUAGGUCGGAUUAGCUAGUUGGUGAGGUAAUGGCUCACCGAGGCGACGAUCCGUAACUGGUCUGAGAGGAUGAUCAGUCACACUGGAACUGAGACACGGUCCAGACUCCUACGGGAGGCAGCAGUGGGGAAUAUUGGACGAUGGGCGAAAGCCUGAUCCAGCCAUGCCGCGUGUGUGAAGAAGGUCUUCGGAUUGUAAAGCACUUUAAGUUGGGAGGAAGGGUUGUAGAUUAAUACUCUGCAAUUUUGACGUUACCGACAGAAUAAGCACCGGCUAACUCUGUGCCAGCAGCCGCGGUAAUACAGAGGGGUGCAAGCGUUAAUCGGAAUUACUGGGGCGUAAAGCGCGCGUAGGUGGUUUGUUAAGUUGGAUGU